rnacentral:sRNA from 1 species
AUUCCAGAGCUCUCAUGUUCUGCACCUCAGGAGGGAAUUCAGCCUCAGUGAUGUCCAUGAGGCCUGUCCCAGGCUCUCUAUCUUCUCUGCUACAUCUCCACAACAGACAGAGACAGCCCAUGCCAGCCUCCAUGCCUGGGACCCUGCCCAACCCUACAAUGCCAGGAUCUUCUGCCGUCUUGAUGCCAAUGGAGAGACAAAUGUCAGUGAACUCCAGCAUCAUGGGGAUGCAAGGUCCAAACCUCAGCAACCCCUGUGCUUCUCCCCAGGUCCAACCAAUGCAUUCAGAGGCCAAAAUGGUAAGUAACAGUUAUAAUCACCCUUUCAUUAUUCUGUGACUUUUUCUUUUGACUUUGACUCUGACUCCAAAACCUUAGUUAAGCUGGGUAGAGGGCUCCAUCUUUGUUUCGGUGAAUGAAAGGCAGUGCAGAGACUGCCUCUCUUUUUGAGGAUGUUUGUUACAGAGCCUUGGCGUCAGAUAAUCAUGUAACAAGCCCUAGAUUGGCAUGUGGUGUUAAUGAAAGGAACAUUUAGGAGUUUUGGUAGAUCCAUACAAGUUGGGGUAGGAUAUACCCAAGCAUGUAUAUAUUUGCUCAACAUGUGAAAUAAUAAAAAUAAUACAAAACUACUCAUUCUUCAAGGU